rnacentral:rRNA from 1 species
GACGAACGCUGGCGGCGUGCCUAAUACAUGCAAGUCGAGCGGAAGUUGAAGAGCUUGCUCUUCAACUUUAGCGGCGGACGGGUGAGUAACACGUGGGCAACCUGCCCUGCAGAUCGGGAUAACUCCGGGAAACCGGUGCUAAUACCGAAUAGUUUUGGGUCCCUCCUGGGACCUAACGGAAAGACGGUUUCGGCUGUCACUGCAGGAUGGGCCCGCGGCGCAUUAGCUAGUUGGGGGGGUAACGGCCCACCAAGGCGACGAUGCGUAGCCGACCUGAGGGGGUGAUCGGCCACACUGGGACUGAGACACGGCCCAGACUCCUACGGGAGGCAGCAGUAGGGAAUCUUCCGCAAUGGACGCAAGUCUGACGGAGCAACGCCGCGUGAGUGAUGAAGGUUUUCGGAUCGUAAAACUCUGUUGCGAGGGAAGAAACCGUGCCAAUUAACUACUGGCACCUUGACGGUACCUCGCCAGAAAGCCACGGCUAACUACGUGCCAGCCGCCGCCGUAA